rnacentral:rRNA from 1 species
UUUGAUCAUGGCUCAGAACGAACGCUGGCGGCGUGGCUAAGACAUGCAAGUCGAACGGACUAUGUUAUUUAUAACGUAGUAGUGGCGUAAGGGUGAGGAAUGAAUAGGUAACGUACCCCGAAGUCCGGGAUAGCGUCUGAAUGCUUCGGCAUUCUUCCGAAAGGGGCAAUAAUACCGGAUGAUAUCAUCGCAUUUGAGUGCGGUGAUCAAAGAUUUAUCGCUUUGGGAGCGGCCUAUUUCCUAUCAGCUUGUUGGUGAGGUAACGGCUCACCAAGGCUUCGACGGGUAGCGGGACUGAGAGGUUGGCCCGCCACAUUGGGACUGAGACACUGCCCAGACCCCCACGGGGGGCUGCAGUAACGAAUAUUGUGCAAUGAACGAAAGUUUGACACAGCGACGCCGCGUGUAGGAAGAAGCCUUUCGGGGUGUAAACUACUGUCAGGGGUUAGAAAGUUUACUUCGGUAAAUUGAUCAGCCCCAGAGGAAGUCACGGCUAACUUCGUGCCAGCAGCCGCGGUAAUACGAAGGUGGCAAGCGUUGUUCGGAAUCACUGGGCUUAAAGCGCGCGUAGGCGGAAGUUCAAGUGUCCUGUGAAAUCCCCCGGCUCAACCGGGGAACUGCGGGGCAAACUGGAUUUCUUGAGGCAAGUAGGGGUACAUGGAACUCUUAGUGGAGCGGUGGAAUGCGUAGAUAUUAAGAGGAACGCCGAUGGUGAAGACAGUGUACUGGGCUUGUCCUGACGCUGAGGUGCGAAAGCGUGGGGAGCGAACGGGAUUAGAUACCCCGGUAGUCCACGCCGUAAACGAUGUCUCCUAGGUUGUGGAGGUUCUGACACCCUCACAGUCGAAGCAAAAGUGUUAAGUAGACCGCCUGGGGAGUACGGUCGCAAGGCUAAAACUCAAAGGAAUUGACGGG